rnacentral:tRNA from 2 species
GCCGGGAUACCCUAGUCUGGUAGGGGGCAGGCUUGCUAAGCCUGUGCCCAUAAUGGGCUCGGGGGUUCAAAUCCCCCUCCCGGCG